GUGUUUUUUUGUUUGCAGAAAAUGUCUAAAACUAACAUUAAGAAUCAGAAAAAGUUGAAGAAUCCUCAAACUGCUGGAAAAAGAAGUUUUGCUUGAGUUCGCUCUAAGUUGGAAAACAACGAGGAAACUUUGGAUCCUUUAUCAGCAAAGAAAGUCUUUGUAGCUACAAGAAAAAGAAAAGCUGACGAUCAUAGAAGUCCUCGGAUGAAGAUACAACUAGUAAAAUUGCCGAAAUGGAGGAAAUUAAAGAACAACAAAACGAAAAUGGCAAUGAGUCCGUAGAGGCAUUUGCAUCUGUCAUGGGACAUGAAAAUCCGGGACGUCUGAGAUUGUAUGGGCGGGAGGUUACAAGAACUUCUUUGAGAGAGAAUGUAGGAUGUUUUUUACCCUCUUCAAAUGAUUCAUUGGGAGAAGCUUCAUCUGUUCAGCAAACAACAUUGCAACAAAUCCGUCGUCCAUCUACUAGAACCAACAUAGAAGACCAAUUCAUUCCAGGUAUUAAAUCAUUGAUAAUUUAAUAAUUUUUGUGAGAUCUACUGUCUUAGGUUGGUACUUCAUAUGUUGCACUUAAUUAUUUAAAUGAGGUUGCGACUGGAGUAACUGUUACUUGAGCAGGUUGAAUAAUUUAGUUGUGAUGUUGUUUUGUGAUGUAAUAGUGUUCGAAGAUGUUAAGGUAGAUUGUUGCUUAAAAAAUAAUAGUUAGGAGAGUUGUUUGAUAUGGUUUGUCUAUCGUUGAUUCUGGUUUGUUGUA